ACCUUGGUGGCUCAUUUGGUUGAGCAUCUGACUUCAGUUCAGGUCGUGAUCUCAAGGUU
rfam:Felis catus isolate Cinnamon breed Abyssinian chromosome F2, whole genome shotgun sequence.